CAGUAGCCGCGGUAAUACGAAGGGUGCAAGCGUUAAUCGGAAUUACUUGGCGUAAAGCGUGCGUAGGCGGUGAGUUAAGUCUGCUGUGAAAUCCCCGGGCUCAACCUGGGAAUGGCAGUGGAUACUGGCUCGCUAGAGUGUGUCAGAGGAUGGUGGAAUUCCCGGUGUAGCGGUGAAAUGCGUAGAGAUCGGGAGGAACAUCAGUGGCGAAGGCGGCCAUCUGGGACAACACUGACGCUGAGGCACGAAAGCGUGGGGAGCAAACAGGAUUAGAUACCCGAGUAGUCCCUGUCUCUUAUAC
rnacentral:rRNA from 1 species